rnacentral:sRNA from 2 species
AACUGGUCGCGAGAUCAGCCGAUAACUGAAAGACCAUUGGUUCGGACUCUCAGAUUAUCUCCUCAUCAGGCUAAUCACGGUUAUUUGACCCGGCUCUUGCCGGGUCUUUUUUU